rnacentral:rRNA from 1 species
GAUGAACGCUGGCGGCGUGCCUAAUACAUGCAAGUCGAGCGAAAAGACGAGGAGCUUGUUCCAUUGACGUUAGCGGCGGCCGGGUGAGUAACACGUAGAUAACCUCCCUCUUAGACUGGGAUGACUUCGGGAAACCGGAGCCAAUACCGUAUAAUAUAAUGAACGGCAUGGUGCAGUAGUGAAACCCGGCUUUGCCGUCACAUAUAGAUGGAUCCGCACCGUAUUGGCUAGUUGGUAGGGUCACGGCGUACCAAGGCAACGAUGCGUAGCCGACCUGAGAGGGUGAUCGGCCACACUGGAUCUGAGACACGGUCCAGACUCCUACGGGAGGCAGCAGUCGGGAAUCUUCCGCAAUGGGCGAAAGCCUGACGGUGCCAUGCCGCGUGAGUGAUGAAGGUCUUCGGCUCGUAAAGCUCUGUUAUUAGGAAAGAACAAAAGUAUAAUUAACUAUGCACGUCUUGACGGUACCCAAUCAGAAAGCCACGGCUAACUUCGUG